UUGCUUCAGCAGCACCUAGACUAAAACUGGAACAAUACAGAGAAGAUUAGCAUGGCCUCUGUGCAAGAAGGACUUGCAAAUUCGUGAUGCGUUCCACAUUUUU